UUUGCCUGGGUUUGCACAUGAUCCAGCAAACAACCCACGAACCCGUUGCCUCAUCUGAGACAUCCUCAGGGAACAGCAAGAAUUCAAGGUCCCUGAUAAGACAUCUUUGAGGUCAGGCAUAAAUCAUCACUUCACAUCUUCACGGCAAUGCAACGAAGACAAGUAUCUGUCUCCUUGGGUCUGUCUAACAAGGAGAAAAGCCUGGCCUCCCACCAGCAUCCAGGCAAUAGUGGAUUCCCUCUCCAUAGAUGUCAAAAAAGAAACAGAUGCUCCCGCAGGUGAAAUGAGCUCUGGUCCACGAUGCAACGCAGAUUGUGCAGAAAAUCAAAGAGGAACCAAGCCAGAAGUAUCCCCCAGGACAAAUCAUUAAGGGGGAAAAG
rnacentral:lncRNA from 1 species